UACGGAGGGAGCUAGCGUUGUUCGGAAUUACUGGGCGUAAAGCGCGCGUAGGCGGCUUUGUAAGUUAGAGGUGAAAGCCCGGGGCUCAACCCCGGAAUUGCCUUUAAGACUGCAUCGCUUGAAUCCGGGAGAGGUGAGUGGAAUUCCGAGUGUAGAGGUGAAAUUCGUAGAUGUUCGGAAGAACACCAGUGGCGAAGGCGGCUCACUGGACCGGCAUUGACGCUGAGGUGCGAAAGCGUGGGGAGCAAACAGG
rnacentral:rRNA from 1 species